UACGUAGGGGGCUAGCGUUGUCCGGAAUCAUUGGGCGUAAAGAGCGUGUAGGCGGUCCGGUAAGUCCGUUGUGAAAGUCAAGGGCUCAACCCUUGAAUGCCGGCGGAUACUGUCGGGCUAGAGUCCGGAAGAGGCAAGUGGAAUUCCCGGUGUAGCGGUGAAAUGCGCAGAUAUCAGGAGGAACACCAGUGGCGAAGGCGGUGCUCUGGGCCGGAACUGACGCUGAGGAGCGAAAGCGUGGGGAGCAAACAGG
rnacentral:rRNA from 1 species